rnacentral:ncRNA from 1 species
GUGAUGGGGAUAGACCAUUGCAAUUAUUGGUCUUCAACGAGGAAUUCCUAGUAAGCGCAUGUCAUCAGCUCGUGUUGACUACGUCCCUGCCCUUUGUACACACCGCCCAUUGCUCCUACCGAUUGAAUGAUCCGGUGAAGUGUUCGGAUCGCAUCAACGAGGGUGGUUUGCCGCUGACGAUGUCGUGAGAAGUUCACUGAACCUUAUCAUUUAGAGGAAGGAGAAGUCGUAACAAGGUUACCGUAGGUGAACCUGCGGUAGGAUCAUUG